rnacentral:sRNA from 1 species
AGGGACCGACAAUGUGACACUGGUUGUGGCACCAUCUCACCUUACAAAACACUGGAACGACCAGUUUGCUCAGCACUGCAAAAAGGGGGUUCUUAAACCUGUGAUGGAGUACCAUGCUCGUUCUAAACCUAUAUCCACCGACGAUAUUGGACUUUUCCGCAGUUGCAGCGUAAUAAUAACGACAUACUCUGAAGUGCGAUCUUCUAUCCCCAAGUUUAAACCCCCUCCCGGCGUCAUCCAAGAAAACGACAAAAAACAGC